UCGGAGACGGUGCUCGUGCGGGCGGUGAUGCGACACGCGUAUCCGAAAGACUCUCGGCAACGGAUAUCUCGGCUCUUGCAUCGAUGAAGAACGUAGCGAAAUGCGAUACUUGGUGUGAAUUGCAGAAUCCCGUGAACCAUCGAGUCUUUGAACGCAAGUUGCGCCCGAAGCCAUUAGGCCGAGGGCACGCCUGCCUGGGUGUCGCCCAUCGUUGCCCUAGUGCCUUGGCCUCUCGUGCAAGGCACCGAGCUGGGCGAAUGCUGGCUUCCCGCGAGCAACGCCUCACGGUUGGUUGAAAACUGAGUCCGUGGUGGAGGGUGUCGUGACGGAUGGUGGUUGAG
rnacentral:rRNA from 1 species